CACUUGCACACAUACACGUAUGCACGAAGCCAUCUGUUGUGAGCUAGCUAGCAAAGGCAGAGAGGGAGACACCUGUGUGCCAAAUACGCACCAGCUGUGUGUUCUAAUCCCCCACUAGACCGAAACACAUGUCAGCGGAUUGGCAAACGGAAGAAUCUAGUUAAACCUACAAAGCACAGUUUAUUUAUUUGUUCCCCUUCAUGUCUCCUCCAUUUCUGUCCAUUGUUCUCCACUGCUUUUUGAGGCAUGUUUCCCAAUUUGUCUUUGAUCUUUGCAUCCUCAUGUGCAUUUCUAAAUGCAUCCAUGUGCAUGGGAGCCUCAUGUGAGAUGAGCAUGCUUUGGGUUGAUGCUUCAGCCCCUGUAGCUUCUCUGUGCUGCUUUCUAUCGCUGGAAGCCAAAUUCCCACGUUGAGCUUCUCAAAGCUUAAAAAGGUAAAGGACCCCUGACAGUUAAGUCCAGUCGCAAACGACUCUGGGGUUGCGGCGCUCAUCUCGCUUUAUUGGCCGAGGGAGCCAGCGUUUGUCUGAAGACAGUUUUUCCAGGUCAUGUGGCCAGCAGAACUAAGCCACUUCUGGUGAAACCAGAGCAGUGCACGGAAACCCCUUUUACCUUCCCGCCGGAGCGAUACCUAUUUAUCUACUUGCACUUUGAUGUGCUUUUGAACUGCUAGGUUGGCAGGAGCUGGGACUGAGCAACGGGAGCUCACCCCAUUCUGGGGCUUCGAUCUGCUGACCUUCUGAUCGGCAAGCCCAAGAGACUCAGUGGUUUAGACCACAGCGCCACCUGCUUCCCAAUCCACCUGCGUGUGAGUCAAGUCUUUGUGUUAUAGUUUCCCAAUUCACAGUGGGACAAUUACUGAGAAGGAUGAGGAAUGGAGGAGCUUGGAGGAAUGGGUGGACCUGGUGAGUUUUGCUCCCUUCCUGUGUCUUGGACAGGCUGGAGGCACUGGAGUGGAGCCGGGGAACGCCCUAGGGACCCCCCAGGGGAAGAAGGCUCAGAGCCAGGGGGUUGGUGGUGGGAUGACGAUGGGUGGUCAGAGGGAGAAGCCUGGUAGAAGCAAGUGUCAGAAACUGAAGGGUCAACAGGGUGUAGUGAGCAGGAGGAGUCUGUGGCAGAGUGCAGUUCAGACUCUGAGGCUGAAGCAGAGGCUAGAGGAGUCAAGAGGCUGCUGAUGAAUCUAGUGAGUCUCCCCCUCCUGCUGUAACCAGCUCUGCACCGCCGCCGCCACCCCAGUCUCCAAGAAUGCACAGAGAAAUUAAAAGAGCAGAACAGAGAUUUGUGGUGUGCAGAAACAGAUUGAUUCUGCUUGGGGAAAACCCAGGAGAGGAGGAGCCUUAGAGAGGGGUGGGAAAGGAGGAACCUUCAGUCCUCACAACUGUGGCAUCAGGGCAAGGCCUCCUAGGAAGGGUUGCUGCGACCACCUAGUCUUGAGCUUUUGUUUGUUUCACUGGCCUGACUCAAGACCUGACACCCUGCUUGGAACUUCCACUAAACGUGCCUCUCUGCACACCUUUAUCCUCUAGCUGGCCAAGCCUCUCUCCUACUCCAGCAGGGCCACCCUGUCCUGGUCUGUUUCACUCUGCUCUGCAGCUGACAGUCAGGCUGGCAGCAUGAGCAAGGAACUGCUGCACCAGCCACUCUUGAUGUUUGUCAUCUCGCAGUGUAAAGUUGCCCACAGAUGAUGCUCUUGCAUAUUGAAUGGCACCUAUCUUUGCAGCCCAUUGUGGGUCAUUGCAUGUAAUUCUCUCCACCCCCACCCCCUGCUCUGCCUGCACAAAAAGCCCUAACGUUUUGCCACCUCAGGUGUACUCCUGGCUUUAAGAGCAAGCUUUCUGUGCAGAAAAGUGCUUUGUACUCCGUAAAUGUUUCAGCAGCCUGAUUAUGCCUUUGGCCAGCCGAGUCAAUAAAAUGCCCGAUGCAAAGCCUGUGCGUGGGUCUCUCGCAUUCAGCUUUUAUGCGCCCAGAAUAAAAAUGAUUAAGUUUUUAAAAGUUUGGAGGGCUUGACUCUAAGUGUUGUUGACAGCUUCAAGAAGCAUCGGACAGGCUGACAUAAUGCUCCUCGUGAUGAUAAAGCUGUCAGCGCAGAUUGUGGAUGGGAUGAAGGAGAUAAAGCAAAGCCAUGCUUUUCUGAUGGCAGCGACUUGAGCCACGAAAACCUGUGCUAAUAACAGGUGUUUUGCAGUUAAAGCCCCAAAACAAGAGAAUUUGUACCCAUCAGUGUGGCUUGAAUUACUGUUGUGUCAGCUGUACUUCCAACAUGUAGCAUCAGUUCGGAGUGGCAUAUCCCUACCGUUUUUCCUGCAGAACGUAGAGGCACUGAAAACCCAAUUGAUUGUGGUGAAGAGGCAUUUUUAGGAUUGGAUGCUUGGAAGCAGGAAGGGCCUGCAAAUUAACUCCUUGCUUGCGUUCUUUUGAUUGGGCCAAACAAGCUGCUUUCGGGUAUUUUUGCCAGAAGUAACAGUCUCACUCUACUUGGCUUUGGUCAGAUUCACCUGGAGGACUGUGUUCAGGUCUGGACACCACCAUUUAAGAAGCAUGCAUGACUUGGUCUGGAAUUGGAAUUGAGCUCAGAUAUGAUCAAGCCAUUUUGCAGUUUUGGGAGAAGGAGGACAGAGAGCUUGUGGUAUAGAGCUAACAUUCAUAUCACCUUGCUGCCACAAUAUUUUUAUUUAAAGAAAAAUUAGAAGCUGAUGCUCUAAGCCCCUUUUUCUUUCCAGAGUAGUCCCACUUACAUCUAAGAAACUGCCAGAUAACAACUCUUUUUCUUAUAGUACUUUUGCCCCUAUGCACCACACACACACACACACACACACACACACACACAUAUUAAAUGUUAUAGGAAAGAACCACUAACGGGCCUUUACUGUGACAAGAAAAGCACGCACAGCAGAAUAGAUUUUUCAUACUCAGUUUGUACUUGCAUAUGAGAAUUCUGACAUCCAAGCUCCACAACACAUUUGCAGGGCUACAUCUAAAAUGGCUUAGGACUUAUCAUAGGAAAACACUCUGAAAUAUCGCAAGUCGCUACUGUGAGCAUACUGUAGGUUGCUUGCAUGUGUUUUGUUCUUUAGGGAUAUAUAUCACUUUGUGGUCGAAUUGUUCUAGACAUUUUGUCCAUCAAACUAGGAGUCUGUACGCAGAGCGAUGGAAUAACAGCGUGUCCCCUUGGAUCUCAAACAAACAGACCCAAAUGGCUUUUGAUCCUUCAUCCCUCAAAUACUUUUGAAAGCUUGAGCUUCUUUUAUUAUUGACUAAACUCGGUGGAUUUGUGCAUGCUCUCGACCAAAAAUGAAUAGAGGUAUCCCUCUCCAUCUCACUGUACCUUUAC
rnacentral:lncRNA from 1 species